rnacentral:rRNA from 1 species
AUGAGAUUAAAACAUAAGCCAAGCUUGACGAGUUCAAAUACACGAAUUCUCUUGCUGCGAGUUAAAAAAAGUGCAUUAUUGUUCCCAGCGUUUGUAAACUGUCUGCUGGGGUACGAUAAUGCACUGUGCACCCGGUCCUUCACACGAUAUUACCAUCCAUACACUGAUCGGCAUGGUGCACGCAGAAAAGCAAAUCAACGUGCAUUUGCAGGGUAUGAUUUACACAAUCCCCUCUUUUUGCAGUACGCAAUGGAAAAAUUUGCAGUUCAAAAGUCGCAGCUUCCCACCUCAUCCAAAACGUACGGUAUCUGA